AAAACUCUAGAGGUAUAAAUGCUUGUGCUAAAAAAGAAUGAGAAUCAAGGAUAAGAGUGGUUGAGGUAAGGUAACAGGAGCUAGGGAUCUGAACAGAAGGGAAAUAGCAGGCCAGUGAGCAGAAUCAACAAAGAACUACUUACCACUGACUCCAGGGAGAGGCUGCAUGAGUCAUCUCUGGGUUUUGCUUGCUCCAGUAUACCUGUCAGAGAGGGGCUGACAAGUGUAGAGUGGGGCUGACAGCUGUGGGACAGAGGAAGAGACAGAGUCCUAAAGUUACUGUGGUGUAGACAUCAACAACCAUGGAUGAUCUUGGAUGUGUCAUUACCUCUCUGGGUCUUGAUAUCCUAAAAUACAAAAGGAAAGAUUACACUAAGCCAUCUCUCUGAUCCCGUUAGCACCAACCCUCUGUGAUCUUGAAGAUGUAAUCUCUGGUUUAUAGAUCUGCAUUUAUGUCAAGGGAAAUGUCAUGUAUGUGUGGUGUCUGUUUGAUGGCCAUGUGACAACUGAAGACUGGCUCUGAUGGAUGACUUAAGUAACCUCUGGAGGGUACCCACACUGUGACCAUAAACCACUAUGCCCGUGUGGAAAACACUGCAGUCCUGGGGCGAAAGACAAACUUCAUGCUUGAUAAAAAAACAACUAAAAGUAGACCACAGCUGCUCUGGAACUGAUCUGCAAGACCACACACUGUGCAGUUGCUUUGGCAACCAACACAUAUUCUGUCCCAUUUGAGCGCUAGUUGAAAUGGUUUCUGCAAUGGCAUCGCUACGCAGAGUUGGAACUAAAAUGUCACAGCGUGCUAAAACCCCAGAUGUGGCAGACACUCAAAUCCAGUGAUUACCUGAAGAGCCAGUGUGAGCCUUUGUGCCAUACGUAAGUUUACAAUAUAGACUUGUUUUCAUUUGUUGUUCAAAGGGAUGAAUGCCUUCUAACACCACUAUUGGUUUGCUAGCCAGUAUAUUAUGUACUGUAUAUAGAAGGUAUGCAGAUACAAGCAGAUAUUUGUUAAACAAAAUCAAAGUUUCCUUUUAAGAAUGGUUAUUUAUUAUGUAUCUGACUGGUGCAUACAAAAUUUGAAUUUCCAUGACCCCUGUUCCCCCAAACUACUUUGAACAGUCUACUAAAAGUACAAAAACGUCAAAUUUCUUUUUGUCCAGCUAAUUAUAUUUCUGACUGAAGUGACCCC
rnacentral:lncRNA from 1 species